GGUGGGGUGGCAGAGUGGUCGAACGCGCCUGACUUGAAAUCCGGUAUGCCUGCAAGGGCAUCGUGGGUUCGAAUCCCACCCCCACCG
rnacentral:tRNA from 1 species